rnacentral:rRNA from 1 species
UACAGAGGUCCCAAGCGUUGUUCGGAUUCACUGGGCGUAAAGGGUGCGUAGGCGGUUGGAUAAGUCUGCCGUGAAAUCUCCGGGCCUAACCCGGAAACUGCGUUGGAAACUAUCUGGCUAGAGGAAUGGAGGGGAGACUGGAAUACUUGGUGUAGCAGUGAAAUGCGUAGAUAUCAAGUGGAACACCAGUGGCGAAGGCGAGUCUCUGGACAUUUCCUGACGCUGAGGCACGAAAGCCAGGGGAGCAAACGGG